rnacentral:rRNA from 1 species
AACGAACGCUGGCGGCAUGCCUAACACAUGCAAGUCGAACGAAGGCUUCGGCCUUAGUGGCGCACGGGUGCGUAACGCGUGGGAAUCUGCCCUUUGGUUCGGAAUAACAGCUGGAAACGGCUGCUAAUACCGGAUGAUGACGAAAGUCCAAAGAUUUAUCGCCAGAGGAUGAGCCCGCGUUGGAUUAGGUAGUUGGUGGGGUAAAGGCCUACCAAGCCGACGAUCCAUAGCUGGUCUGAGAGGAUGAUCAGCCACACUGGGACUGAGACACGGCCCAGACUCCUACGGGAGGCAGCAGUGGGGAAUAUUGGACAAUGGGCGCAAGCCUGAUCAAGCAAUGCCGCGUGAGUGAUGAAGGCCCUAGGGUUGUAAAGCUCUUUUACCCGGGAAGAUAAUGACUGUACCGGGAGAAUAAGCCCCGGCUAACUCCGUG